rnacentral:rRNA from 1 species
GGGCCCGCACAAGCGGUGGAGUAUGUGGUUUAAUUCGAUGCAACGCGAAGAACCUUACCAGGGUUUGACAUCCUGCGAAUCUCUUGGAAACGAGAGAGUGCCUUCGGGAACGCAGUGACAGGUGGUGCAUGGCUGUCGUCAGCUCGUGUCGUGAGAUGUUGGGUUAAGUCCCGCAACGAGCGCAACCCACGUCUUUAGUUGCCAGCAAUUAAAGUUGGGUACUCUAGCGAGACUGCCGGUGCAAACCGUGAGAAGGUGGGGAUGACGUCAAAUCAUCACGGCCCCUUACGUCCUGGGGCUACACACGUGCUACAAUGGCCGGUACAGAGAGCAGCCACUACGCGAGUAGGAGCGAAUCUUCAAAGCGGUCUC